rnacentral:ncRNA from 1 species
UACACUUCACUCUAAUGCCUGAUUAACUUUAACUACUAAAUUACAUAUGGUAACCAACAUUUUUUGUGAAAAACUUCGGUAAAACAUCCUCUAUUAAACAUAUACGAUAUGUUACCAAAGACAAGAAGUACAACUUUAAUCUAUCUAAGGCUCAAGCCCACAACACCAAUGAAUCAUAUUACUAAAAGCUAGGAAACUAGGCAGUAGAUAUAGUUAAAUAAAGUGACUAAGGGGGUGCCAGCAGUCGCGGUUACACCACCGCUUUAAGUUAAUUUUACACAAAUACCAAAAGAGGUAAAAUAAACCUAGCUGAUUUCAACCACAAGUACAUACGAAGUAAAAUUCUUAACACCUUAUUGCAUACCCAAAUAAAUCACACAACCUAAAUCUCUAACAAACCACACCCAACAGGACAGGGAUUAGAUACCCCACUACUGAGUGGCUCAACCAAACAAAUACUAAAAACGAAAGUUUCAAACUUAAAGAGUGUGGCGGUAUUCCACACCUUAUUAGGGGAUCCUGUGGCUUAAUACGAUAACCCACGAACACCAAAGCUUUAUUUGUCAUCAGCUUGUGUAUGGCCGUUUUAUGUCUGCGCACAUAAAGCAACAAAAGAAGACACUCAAGCCUAAAACUUAAUAACACAGGUAACACACAGCCAACAUAAAGCAGCUCAUGGGAUACAAAUGGAUAUCAUCACCCUAAAUAGGUUGAUAGCCUAUACAAAGGAGGACUUAAAAGUAAGAUUACAACAUUAUUAUAGUCUGAACAAGAUCUGGAAUACGCACAAAUCGCCCGUCACUCCUGCAAUCAAACCAGGAUAAGUCGUAACACAGUAGGGGUAACGGAAGUUGCCCCUAUAAAA